rnacentral:rRNA from 1 species
UACGUAGGGGGCUAGCGUUGUCCGGAAUCAUUGGGCGUAAAGCGCGCGUAGGCGGCCCGGUAAGUCCGCUGUAAAAGUCAAAGGCUCAACCUUUGAAUGUCAGUGGAUACUGCCGGGCUAGAGUCCGGAAGAGGCGAGUGGAACUCCUGGUGUAGCGGUGGAAUGCGCAGAUAUCAGGAAGAACACCGACGGCGAAGGCAGCUCGCUGGGACGGUACUGACGCUGAGGCGCGAAAGCGUGGGGAGCGAACGGG